rnacentral:rRNA from 1 species
UAAUACGUAGGGCGCAAGCGUUGUCCGGAAUUAUUGGGCGUAAAGAGCUCGUAGGCGGUCUGUCGCGUCUGCCGUGAAAACCCGAGGCUUAACCUCGUGGCUUGCGGUGGAUACGGGCAGACUAGAGGUAGGUAGGGGAGAAUGGAAUUCCCGGUGUAGCGGUGAAAUGCGCAGAUAUCGGGAGGAACACCGGUGGCGAAGGCGGUUCUCUGGGCCUUACCUGACGCUGAGGAGCGAAAGCGUGGGGAGCGAACAGGAUUAGAUACCCUGGUAGUCCACGCCGUAAACGUUGGGCGCUAGGUGUGGGGUUCUUCCACGGACUCCGUGCCGUAGCUAACGCAUUAAGCGCCCCGCCUGGGGAGUACGGCCGCAAGGCU